CCAGACACACGCGGCACCAGUUCCUCAUCAGAGAAGGAAACGGUCCAAGUCAGCAAUGAAUGUGGAUCAUGACGUUAACCUCCUAGUGGAGGAAACUCAUCGUUUGGGUUCGAAAAAUGCUGAUGGAAAGUUAAGCGUGAAAUUUGGGGUUCCCGUCCAAGACGACAGAUGUGCCAACCUCUUUGAAGCAUUGAUAGGAACUCUGAAAGCUGCAAAACAAAGGGAGAUUGUCACACACCCAGGAGAACUGCUUUUGCAAGGUGUUCAUGAUGAUGUUGACAUUG